UAGCCUUUAGCAACACAAGUAUUAAAGGUCCUGCCUGCCCAGUGAAAACUUUUAAACGGCCGCGGUAUUCUAACCGUGCAAAGGUAGCGUAAUCACUUGUCUUCUAAAUAAAGACCAGUAUGAACGGCUAAAUGAGGACAAGCCUGUCUCCUACAACCAAUCAGUGAAACUGAUCUCCCAGUACAAAAGCUGGAAUAUUAACAUUAGACGAGAAGACCCUGUGGAGCUUAAAACCAACCUAGUACAAACACACUAGUAUAAGUUUUAAGUUGGGGCGACUUCGGAAAAAAACAAAACUUCCGAGCACAGAACCACCAGUUCUAACUGAGGCCAACAAGCCAAAGCAAAAAUUGACCCAGUCCACACUGAUCAACGAACCAAGUUACCCCAGGGAUAACAGCGCCAUCCCCUCCAAGAGUCCAUAUCGACAAGGGGGUUUACGACCUCGAUGUUGGAUCAGGGCACCCCAAUGGUGCAGCCGCUAUUAAAGGUUCGUUUGUUCAACGAUUAACAGCC
rnacentral:rRNA from 1 species